CGUCCCUUUGGUUCAGAAGCCAAUAUCGUCUGUUUUGGAGAAGAUAAGGCUUAGGAAGUUGGAAGUGCUGAAACAAACUAGCAUCCUUUGUCAAUCUGACUCUGUUGAAGCCUCUGAUUGUUCGGUUGAUGAAAUUGUUCAGAAGAACUCCUCGAACUCCUCUGUCAGGAAUCAAAAUGAUUCAAGAGAUAAUGCAGGGGAUGCAGAAGUGGAUGGCAUUUCAGUCAGGUGUCAGAAUAAUUCAAGAGAUGAUAUUAGGGCUGCACCAAUGG